rnacentral:rRNA from 1 species
UAGGAAGGGGGCUAGCGUUGUUCGGAAUCACUGGGCGUAAAGCGCACGCAGGCGGAUCGAUAAGUCGGGGUUGAAAGCCCGGGGCUCAACCUCGGAAUUGCCUUCGAUACUGUCGGUCUCGAGUCCGGGAGAGGUGAGUGGAAUUCCUAGUGUAGAGGUGAAAUUCGUAGAUAUUAGGAAGAACACCAGUGGCGAAGGCGGCUCACUGGCCCGGUACUGACGCUCAGGUGCGACAGCGUGGGGAGCUAACAGG